ACUAUGCCCCAGACAUCCGUUGUCUUCUCCAGCAUACUUGGGCCCAGCUGUAGUGGACAGGUGCAGCCCGGCAUGGGGGAGCGAGGAAGUGGGGCCAGCAGCUCAGGGGACCUCGUCUUCCAAGAAGGACGCCUCAUCUCUGGAUCCCUGGAGGCCUUGAUGGAGCACCUGGUCCCCACAGUGGACUAUUACCCGGAUAGGACAUACAUCUUUACAUUUCUCUUGAGCUCCCGGGUCUUCAUCCCUCCUCAUGACCUGCUGGCCCGUGUGGGGCAGAUCUGUCUGGAGCAGAGGCAACAGCUGGAGACAGGGUCUGAGAAGGCCAAGCUGAAGUCCUUCUCAGCCAAGAUUGUACAGCUGUUAAAGGAGUGGACAGAGGCUUUCCCCUAUGACUUCCAGGAUGAGAAGGCCAUGGCCGAACUGAAAGCCAUCACCCACCGGGUCACACAGUGUGAUGAGGAGAAUGGCACAGUGAAGAAGGCCAUUGCCCAAAUGACACAGAGCCUGCUGCUGUCCCUGGCUGCCCGAAACCAGCUUCAGGAGCUGCGGGAGAAGCUCCGCUCACCAGCCAUGGACAAAGGGUCUGUCCUCAAGGCUAAGCCGCCAGCCACUCAGAAGGACAUCCUGGGCGUGUGCUGUGACCCUCUGGUGCUGGCCCAGCAGCUGACUCACAUUGAGCUGGAGAGGGUCAGCAGCAUUCACCCUGAGGACCUGAUGCAGAUUGUCAGCCACAUGGACUCUCGGGACAAGCACAGGUGCCGAGGGGACCUGACCAAGACCUAUAGCCUGGAGGCCUAUGACAACUGGUUCAACUGCCUUAGCAUGCUAGUGGCCACCGAGGUGUGCCGGGUGGUGAAGAAGAAGCACCGGACCCGCAUGCUGGAGUUCUUUAUUGAUGUGGCCCGGGAGUGCUUCAACAUCGGGAAUUUCAACUCCAUGAUGGCCAUCAUCUCUGGCAUGAACCUCAGUCCUGUGGCGAGGCUGAAGAAAACGUGGUCCAAAGUCAAGACAGCCAAGUUUGACGUCUUAGAGCACCACAUGGACCCCUCCAGCAACUUCUGCAACUACCGUACCGCCCUGCAGGGGGCCACACAAAGGUCCCAGAUGGCCAACAGCAGCCGAGAGAAGAUUGUUAUCCCUGUGUUCAACCUUUUUGUUAAGGACAUUUACUUCUUGCACAAAAUCCAUACCAACCACCUUCCCAACGGGCAUGUUAACUUCAAGAAAUUUUGGGAGAUCUCCAGACAGAUCCAUGAAUUCAUGACAUGGACUCAGGUUGAGUGUCCCUUCGAGAAAGACAAGAAGAUUCAGAAUUACCUGCUCACGGCACCCAUCUACAGCGAGGAAGGUGAGGCCCAGUGCUCUGUGGCAGCACACCCACCUCUCCACAUGGUACAUGUCACUCUGACUCCCCCACAUCCCGAGCCUCUGCCCUCAGGCGGUUGCCCUGGGAAGCAGGCCUGAUCACAGUCCCUAUGCCACACAGGGGAAGCUCAGCCCAUAGGGGUGAGUAUAUGAGGGUGGGCUGUGGGUGGACAACAGGAUGAGGACAAGGAGAGAUGGGGCUCUGGAAGCCACCCGAGAGAGCCAGAACAGGGUUAGGUUCAUGCUACAGAACCAGGAAAUUUCUCAGCCCCUAAGCAGGAAGCUGGCAGCUCUGAUGGGGCCUGGAACUCCAGGCAAUAGAGACCUGUGAUAAGGCUCAGACCUGAGGUCACAGUCUUUGCCUGGGCCCAGCUGCUCCCCUAGAAAGGAAGGGAUAACUGGUGUGGUAGGCAGACUGACUGCAUGUGGACAUGGGUUCUGAGGGGCUUUUCAUCUCUCAGCUCUCUUCAUCGCCUCCUUUGAAAGUGAAGGUCCUGAAAACCACAUGGAAAAAGAUAGCUGGAAGACUCUCAGGACCACUCUCCUUAACAGAGCCUGAAGGCAUGGAUGCAGCCUGCAGACGAUGGAGGAAGCACACACGUGCACUGAGUUUGAAUCUUGAUCGAUAAGGGUUGAGAUGAGGAGGCCUCACUGGUUGGGGUCCAUUUUGUAUAUAACUUUUAUGGAAAAAAAAAAGUAAUUAUUUCAUGCAUCAACCUUUGGCACUUAC